rnacentral:rRNA from 1 species
UACGUAGGGGGCGAGCGUUGUCCGAAGUUACUGGGCGUAAAGCGCGCGUAGGCGGGUUCUUAAGUGAGGGGUGAAAGGUUCGGGCUCAACCCGAACACUGCCUUUCAUACUGGGGACCUUGAGUAUGGGAGAGGCGAGUGGAAUGGUCGGUGUAGCGGUGAAAUGCGCAGAUAUCAGGAGGAACACCGGUGGCGAAGGCGGGUCUCUGGGCCGAUAUUGACGCUGAGGAGCGAAAGCGUGGGGAGCGAACAGG